AUUGAACGCUGGCGGCAGGCCUAACACAUGCAAGUCGAGCGGAUGAAGGGAGCUUGCUCCUGGAUUCAGCGGCGGACGGGUGAGUAAUGCCUAGGAAUCUGCCUGGUAGUGGGGGAUAACGUCCGGAAACGGGCGCUAAUACCGCAUACGUCCUGAGGGAGAAAGUGGGGGAUCUUCGGACCUCACGCUAUCAGAUGAGCCUAGGUCGGAUUAGCUAGUUGGUGGGGUAAAGGCCUACCAAGGCGACGAUCCGUAACUGGUCUGAGAGGAUGAUCAGUCACACCGGAACUGAGAAACGGUCCAGACCCCUAGCGGGAGCAAGAGUGGGGAAUAUUGGACAAUGGGCGAAAGCCUGAUCCAGCCAUGCCGCGUGUGUGAAGAAGGUCUUCGGAUUGUAAAGCACUUUAAGUUGGGAGGAAGGGCAGUAAGUUAAUACCUUGCUGUUUUGACGUUACCAACAGAAUAAGCACCGGCUAACUUCGUG
rnacentral:rRNA from 1 species